AUCCAUCGGAUGAGUUCCAAAUAGAACGAAACGCGCGUCCUUGAU
rfam:Schistosoma mansoni strain Puerto Rico chromosome 1, complete genome